rnacentral:rRNA from 1 species
UACGUAGGGCGCAAGCGUUGUCCGGAUUCACUGGGGGUAAAGGGUGCGCAGGCGGGCAAGUAAGUUAGAGGUGAAAUCUCACAGCUCAACUGUGAAACCGCCUUUGAUACUGCUUUUCUUGAGUUAGGGAGAGGUUGAUGGAAUUCCAGGUGUAGCGGUGAAAUGCGUAGAUAUCUGGAAGAACACCGGUGGCGAAGGCGGUCAACUGGCCCUAAACCGACGCUCAGGCACGAAAGCGUGGGGAUCAAACAGG